rnacentral:rRNA from 1 species
UACAGAGGUCCCGAGCGUUGUUCGGAUUUAUUGGGCGUAAAGGGUGCGUAGGCGGCGGAGUAAGUUGGGUGUGAAAUCCCGGGGCUUUAACCUCGGAAUUGCAUUCAAUACUGCUUCGCUUGAGUACUGGAGAGGAGGCUGGAAUUUACGGUGUAGCAGUGAAAUGCGUAGAUAUCGUAAGGAAGGCCGGUGGCGAAAGCGAGCCUCUGGACAGUUACUGACGCUGAUGCACGAAGGCCAGGGGAGCAAACGGG